ACUUCAUACAAGAGAUUUAUUGAGAAGGGAAAACCCAGAAGGGUGGCUGCCUGUGCUCAGAUGAGAGCGAGCUGGUUGGUUGGCCCUAACGAUUGGGGCAAGAGGAAGAUAUGGAAGAAGGACCAAGGACUCUUCUGAAUGACCUGCGGAGGCCCAAAGGCCAGCAAGUGGGCCCUCAUCCGCCAGGGUUCUGGAGCUGGAACCGUCCCCUGCAAUGCUGCCAUCCAGACUGCCGAAGCCAGAGUUCCUGCAACAGAAG
rnacentral:sRNA from 1 species